UGACCCACUUAGAUUGUUGUGGCUACAGUACAAAUAUUUUUUUAUUUUUUUUUCUAAAACUUCAAAUGCGAUUCAAUCUCAGGCUGCGUAUUGAGAUAGCGUUCGACCUUCUUUUCGGUUAUCCUUGAAUGAUUAGCACAUAUUUAAAAUGCGGAUACUGUCCGAGGCCUCUGACCUCAAUAUUUGUGCCGGAGUCUGGAAAAAAAAAGUUGAAUGGUGAUUGGGUAUGGGUCAGCGAUCUUUUAUGUCGUUAUUGGAUCUCCAGCUGCCUGAUUCGCAAUCUAGAUUAGCGUGCAAGGGAAAUGUAUACUGGGUCAGGUUCCAGUUCCAAGGUUCCCUUACAAGUUACUACGUACCUGAUACUUCGUGAAAUGGUACACGGUUGUAUUUUCCCAGCUGUUGGCAAAUAUUUAGUAAGUCACCAUAUGAGAACGCUCAUUUUUCUAGAGCGUCUGGCAAUUUCCCUAAUCCGUUACGACCAAAGAAACCUCCCGAACCGGCGACAAAUUUUCUUUACUCGACCAACUGGUGCGCAAACAAAGAGUGAAAGUGUUGGGGUAAGAAUGACGUCACAUCUAUUUACCGCUUGUUUUCUUUUUAAAAAUCGACAAGAAAACCGGACGGAGUCCCGCAAAGUUCAACCCGGUUCAACCUCCUUCAAAUUGAUUUGGCACAACUUUUGGCGAAUAUAAAUAAGCACUUGUGCAUUACCUGGAAAAAGUUCUGUUGGCAAGUCUUUGAAAUUGCCCGUCCCUAGAAACAAAUAUGUUGCGGCAUUCCAGGGCGGACUUUGUGGAGUACCUCCACGAGUUGGCGCUCUUUUUAAAUAUUUAAAAAUAGGUUUUUUGGAGAACCCUGCCAGACCGCCAUAGUCACAGUUGCUGGAAUUGAAGAAAAAGAAAUUUCGAAUCCUUCAGGGCGUCGUACAAACAAGAUCCGUGUGAGGUGCAUUCAAUUCAAGAUAUACAGGCCUUUUUGAGAGUUGAAACCCGUUGGCUGUCGCCGUCUCGUUUUUUUGCCGGCGACGAUCUUAAAUCACGGUCACGAUCAACAGUUGUAUCCAGUAGUGACCUUCCACCGGCUGGAAGAGUCUACCAAUAGCCAGGCCUGGGUGAAAGCGGACGAGCGGUGCCGACGAAUUUCUAGUCGAGUUAUGCGGCGUGUGAAUCCCGAAACCGAACUCAACUCGAGUCACGGAACGCAUGGCGCGAUAGAAAGUGAGAAAGUCUGAGGCGUAACGCCCGCCUUUUUUUUCUUCUUCUUCGAUUAUUUUCAAGGUAGACAUUUAUUGUUUUAAGUAACCAAUGCCACUUGUUUUAUUUUUUUUUAAUGGUAAUAUUAUUUUGAC